CCGCAACUCGCCUGCACGAAGUCGGAAUUGCUAGUAAUCGUAGAUCAGCAUACUACGGUGAAUACGUUCCCGGGCCUUGUACACACCGCCCGUCAAACCAUGAGAGUUGCAACACCCGAAGUCGGUAGUCUAACCGCAAGGAGGACGCCGCCGAAGGUGGGGUUGAUGAUUAGGGUUAAGUCGUAACAAGGUACC
rnacentral:rRNA from 1 species